GACGAACGCUGGCGGCGUGCUUAACACAUGCAAGUCGAACGGAAAGGCCCUGCUUUUGUGUUUUGCUCGAUUGGCGCACGGGUGAGUAACACGUGAGUAUCCUGCCCUUGACUUUGGGAUAACUUCAGGAAACUGGGGCUAAUACCGGAUAUGAUCUCCUGCUGCAUGGUGGUGGUUGGAAAGUUUCGGCGGUUGGGGAUGUACUCGCUGCUUAUCAGCUUGUUUGUGUGGUAGUGGUUUACCAAGGCUUUGACGGCUAGCCGGCCUGAGAGGGGUAACGGGGACAAGGGGACUAAGAGACGGACCAGAAUGCAACGGGAGGCAGCAGGGGGGAAUAUUGCAGAAUGGGCGGAAGCGUGAGGCAGAAAUGCCGCGAGCGGGAUAAAGGCCUUCGGGGUGUAAACAGAUGUGGACUGUGACGAAGAGUGAGUGACGGUAAUGGGUAAAGAAGCAACGGCUAACUACGUG
rnacentral:rRNA from 1 species